rnacentral:rRNA from 1 species
AAUUCCAGCUCCAAUAGCGUAUAUUAGAGUUGUUGCAGUUAAAAAGCUCGUAGUUGGAUUUCUGUCGGUGCUGUCCGGUUCUGCCUGUAUAGGUGUGCACUGGGAUUGGCUUCGGCAUUCUUCCGUAGCCUUAUCACACUUCAGUGUGUGGAUUUGGUGUUUCGGAACUUUUACUUUGAGAAAAAUAGAGUGUUUCAAGCAGGCUUGUCGCCUUGAAUACUGCACCAUGGAAUAAUAAGAUAGGACCUUGGUUCUAUUUUGUUGGUUUCUAGGACUAAGGUAAUGAUUAAUAGGGACAGUUGGGGGCAUUCGUAUUUAACUGUCAGAGGUGAAAUUCUUAGAUUUGUUAAAGACGAACUACUGCGAAAGCAUUUGCCAAGGAUGUUUUCAUUAAUCAAGAACGACAGUAGGGGGUUUGAAGACGAUUAGAUACCGUCGUAAUCUCUACCAUAAACUAUGCCGACUAGAGAUAGGAAAAUGCCUAUCUUGGCUUCUCCUG